UGCAAAGCAGAAUUGCUCAGAUGUUAUAGAGAGAUUGAACAAAGCAAGCUGCCUUAUAGUCAGGGUUGUGGUAGAACAUCUGCGUUGCAUGCAGAAGGACCCAGGUUCAAUCCCCAGCAUCUCCAGGUAGGGCUGGCUCCUGUGAAGCCCUGGAGAGCCACUGCCAGUCAGUGUUGACCAUACUGAGCCACAUAGACCAAUAGUCUGACUCAGUUGUCAGUAGCUAGUUCUUAGGGAAGCACAAAUUUCUGCAGAAACGUGAGCAUCAUACUUCUCUGAAAUUUAUGGAACACAGGCAGAACAGGAACUUUCAGAAACAGUCGCUAGUAUUUAUUGAUAGCUACAAUAUAUUCUCCACGAGUUUCUGUAAUCCUCUAAGUGUUGCUUUGCCAGUGCAUUCCUAGUGCGGAACAGGCUUGUGAGGCAGCCACUCCCCUUACCCCACAGGUCAACUUUUACAGGUGGGCCAGACCACCCACCUGUCACCUGACAUCAUCAUGACAUCAGACGAUUGGCAGGAGCUGAUGAAGUUGGAGUCCAACAGCAUCUGGUGUGUGUGAUGACAAUAAAGAUAACUCGAUCUACGGGAUUAACAAGGUGUACAAUGGGGAUGUGAAACCUUUGGCCUUCCAGAUAUUGCUGGCGUCGGUAAACAGGAAGAGACAUGCCGCAGGCCACCUGAAUGAAGCUCACAGACCACUGUGGACCCAUGGACCAUCGUUCAGGAACUCUGACCCUAAUAUAUGCUUUUUUGCACACAUUACUUGGCUGGAGACCUGCACUGAAGAAGUGAAAACUUCAGAAGAUGGUUGGGUUUCAGUUCGCAAACAGUUUCGGAAAGUGCAAAGUUUGCCUUUAAAUGCAAAUCGAAUGUAAUUUCUCCCCCAUCUCUCGCAGGCAGUACAGAGCCAAGUGGACCAGGGUCUGACCUGGUAUAAGGCAACCUCCCGUGUUCCCAACAAUCCAAGUUCAAAACAUGCUGAAUCUUUUACAGCACCAUUUUAGAUUUCUUGUCCUUCUCCUUGUGCAAAACACAGCACCGCCAUCGUAUGGAGCAAAAGCCAAGGAAUGGUGCCCAGAUUGCUAGGACAGACCAGUUCGAGAUCUCUUUAGGUGGCGUUCACUAGAAACAUGGAGGCAGCCUAGCACUGAGGCCAGAGACACAGUGUUUGUGCUUCAGUGCAUCUCCAGCUCUGUUUUCUGAAGUUGCAGACACACGACACUGGUCAAACUCUGCCCCUUUUUACUCCAAAACCGGGGGAAAUGCAGCACCAGUGCGUUUCUCCAUGAAAUCAGUUUCGCGCCAAAAUAAAAACUGUUUGUUGGAUCAACUCAUUACCACUCCGUGGUGUGUCCAAUGAAAACGCUUUGCUGUUGGUUAGGCAGAGACAGUGAUUGGCUCAAAGAUUGCUGUGGGCAGUCCUAAAAGUUUUGAGCUCAGCUGCGGGGAAGGGAGAACCUAGGCUAAGAUGAAAUGCUGCAAACCUCUUAAAGGCAGAGUUCCAGCCCCAACAUGGAAUGCUAUUUCAAGAAGAAACAUAUUAUCUGGAGGCAAGAGAACAGGCCAUGCCGCUAAAUUUCUUUGUCAACUCCAGUUACCAAACUCGACAGUCUUUUCAAUGUUACCGUUUCGGUGUAGGUGUCCCGGCAAACAGUCUUGCACCCAAACGCAGCAGUGGAAAUAGUGAUGCAGAACUCCAGGAUGUUGAAAACCAGGAAAAUAGCCAAGGUUCCAAGUGUUAUAUCCUGCCAAUGAAGCAGACAACCCAGCAAAUGAAAUCACUCUCCAGUACCAGGGAUCGAAUCCCUACUCUUCCAUGAAAUGGUCUGGGUGACCUUGCACCAGUCACUGCCUCUCAGCCUAACCUACCUCACAGGGUUGUUGUGAGGAUAAAAUCGGGAAGGGGAGAACCAUGUAUACCUCCUUGAGCUCCUUCAAGGAAAGGUGGGAUAUAAUACUUCUAACGGGUGGUAUUCGCUAGUCGUACUCAAAGCAGACCCACUGACGUUAAUGGGCAUGACUAACUUAGGUUGAUUAUUUCACUGGGUCUACUCUGAGUAGGGCUGAGUUGAAUACCACCCAAUAACAAUACACACAGACACGCAAUGUCCCCUGGGCACUGUUAGAGACCAGGCAGAGCUGCCUAACUUGGCUGCCACCCUCAUGGACCAUAUGGGGGUUGUGGUUGUCUUAAGGACCCUUUCAGGACAAUGAGGAAUGCAGCAGUCUUAACCGGCUGCAGCAAUCCCAAAGCAAAGUCAUCGCCCCUCCUAAUGCCCACACAGUUCUGAGCUCUCAUCACGUCACAGCCUCAUCAUAAGGAAUUAUAUCGAUGAUGCAAUAAAGAAGGUUCUCUCCUCAGGGACAGGCCCUCCAGGAGCUGGGACACGUCCUUUCAUCCAGAAUGCUUUUGAACUGGCACAAGCCAACGGAUCCCAUCCCUAGCAAACGGCAUUGCAAAACUGUGAAUUUCAAAGAAUUGCUGUCUCAGAUCUCAUAUUGUUUCAGAAAGUGCAAAGUUGACCGAUUUGGCUUCAAAUGUGAACUGAAUCAAAUUUCUUGCCUGUCCCUAUCAGGAACUGAACCUUGACUCUUCUGCAUGCAAAGCAGAUGAUCUACUAACCUCCUAUGGCCCUUCCCUUAUCCCACAUUUUACAGAGCAUUUUCCCAUUAUUUGCCAUAUCACAAAAA